rnacentral:rRNA from 1 species
GUGAGGAAUUUUCUGCAAUGGGCGAAAGCCUGACGGAGAAACGCUGCAUGAAGGAAGAAGGCUCACGGGUCGUAAACUUCUUUUCUCAGAGAAGAAUAAAUGAUGGUAUCUGAGGAAUAAGCAUCGGCUAACUCUGUGCCAGCAGCUGCUGUAAAAUAGAGAAUGCAAGCGUUAUCUAGAAUUAUUAGGCGUAAAGUGUCUGUAGGUGGCUUUUCAAGUCCGUCGUCAAAUCCCAGGGCUCAACCCUGGAUAGCCGGUGGAAACUACCAAGCUGGAGUACGGUAGAGGCAGAGGGAAUUUCUGGUGGAGUGGUGAAAUGCAUUGAGAUCGGGAAGAACACCAACAAGCGAAAGCACUCUACUGGGCCGUCACUGACACUCAGAGACGAAAGCUAGGGGAGCGAAUGGG